AGAACCCAAGCAAACCCCCUUCACUAUUCACGUAACAAGGAACAAGAACCCUCAAGAACUCCUUCUCCCUCACGUUGCCGUCCUCCUUCUUUCCUCCCUUCACGCCGUUGCUUCUGCCAGCCGCACCAACUCGUCGCCGCCGCAGCUCCGCGAGUAUUUCCUCGCCGCCAGCCCAGCAGCCGCGAAAGCUCCACCGUCGUCCACCGCACGCCACCACCACCGUGUGCCGCCGUCCUUGCUCGCAGCCACCCUUGCGACCACCUGCCGCCGCAACUCAGUCCGCCGGCUGCCCAAACCCUCCUCUUUACUUGGUUGUUUUAGGCGAAGAAUUCUCUUUAGGCGACUUUUGAAAGUGUUAAAGUGGCCUAUCAGUUUGUUUACACAAGUCUCUAAGGAUCAAUAAGCGUUGUCCAUCUACAGGUUUGAAGACGAUGCAUCAUUGGGAUCGGGAUUAGAGAGCUUGUAUUAUUUUGUUUUGCUAUGUGUUUUGGUUUUGUUAAUUUGGACUUUAAACUUGUCGUACU